rnacentral:rRNA from 1 species
AGUGAACGCUGGCGGUAGGCCUAACACAUGCAAGUCGAACGGCAGCACAGUAAGAGCUUGCUCUUACGGGUGGCGGGUGGCGGACGGGUGAGGAAUACAUCGGAAUCUACUUUUUCGUGGGGGAUAACGUAGGGAAACUUACGCUAAUACCGCAUACGACCUACGGGUGAAAGCAGGGGAUCUUCGGACCUUGCGCGAUUGAAUGAGCCGAUGUCGGAUUAGCUAGUUGGCGGGGUAAAGGCCCACCAAGGCGACGAUCCGUAGCUGGUCUGAGAGGAUGAUCAGCCACACUGGAACGGAGACACGGUCCAGACUCCUACGGGAGGCAGCAGUGGGGAAUAUUGGACAAUGGGCGCAAGCCUGAUCCAGCCAUACCGCGUGGGUGAAGAAGGCCUUCGGGUUGUAAAGCCCUUUUGUUGGGAAAGAAAAGCAGCAGGUUAAUACCCCGCUGUUCUGACGGUACCCAAAGAAUAAGCACCGGCUAACUUCGUG